GUGAAGGAACCAAGCAAAGAAUUGCAGAAAUCCCCAAGCCUUAGCCUUGAGACUCUGCUGAAGGACACUCUGCUCUCAGGGACUGGGGACCCUCCUGAGCUCCACCAAUGUGAAGUGAGAAAACAUCCUCAAGCUAUUUGCCAAUUUUCUUGGUAGAUAUGCAAGAUUCCUUUCCCAGUGGUAAAGCUACUCAUUCAAAGCAGGCUGGGUGACCUCAGAUGGAUCCUCAGGGACUGGAGCGACCCUGGAGUCACUAGUAAAAAGAUGCUGUCGCUACCAGUUCAAAAGCCAAAUUAUUGAUGUGCUGCACGCCAUGUCCUGGAGCACACAUGUGCAGACACAGGCGGACACACAGGCUUACACGCGUGUGCACGUGCACACUGCCCCCAGGGGCUGCAGGCGAGGCAGCCAUCCCACAUGGGCUGGAUGAAUAGCUGGUCUGUCCCUCAGCUGUGUGCUCUCUCCCACCCCAGGAGAGCACAGAGCCGCAGCCAGCCAAGCCGAGGAGCCCACGCAGUCUGUCCGGCACCGCCGUGCGAGGGGACUGGAGGGCAGCAAGAUGGAGUCAGAAAGAGAAAUCAGCAGCCGUCAAGUGGCAAAUUGCUGGUAGCUAAGCCAUUUCAGCCGGGCAUGCAACUAAGAUUUCCUGAUCAGUGACCAUACAUUUCAUUCCUUGCAUGCUAGAGCCAAGUAGAAUUGUCGAAGGCAUCUGACCGCCGCCCUCCUGAUCGGAGACCCCUCUAGACGGCCCCGCCCAGCACAGCUACACGUGGGGGCUCACAACGCGGUCAGCUUCGCUGCUGAGCAGCUGCUGCUCCCGCGCUUUCCCACGCCUGGUGCUUGGGUAUCUACACCGCUCCCUUUCUCUCAAGCCUUGAUCUUGGCAGGGAGCCACAAGCCCCUCUCACUGAACCCCUCUCCCUGUGACCCUACAGAAGACCCCAUCACCUGUACCAGAGCUGCUGCUCUGAUCCCUAGUGCCAGAGCGGUCCCUCUCCGGUUUGUUCUGCAAUAAACUUGUCCUGUUGAGCUCCUACCUCUGUUUCCUCUUUUCCUUUUUCCUAACAAUUGUUGACUUUUUUUCAGCCUGUUUGGCUUCACCUUGUUUCUGCACUCUGAA
rnacentral:lncRNA from 1 species